AGUCGGACACGACCAAAUGACCAAACAACUAAACAACAACAACACAGCAAGAGAGAAUUGAUACUUAAGUGAGAAAAGGAAAGGAGUCCGAUAAGGGGCAAUAUUUUGCCAGUGUACUUUGGAAAGACAUGUGCACCACUAUCACAUUAGAUGUAAUGGGAGGGUACAGCAAUAAGUAUGCAAUAAAACAUAAAAAACCCAUUUAAAAACAGUAC